rnacentral:rRNA from 1 species
CAAGUCGAACGCGAAAGUCCCGCAAGGGAUGAGUAGAGUGGCAAACGGGUGAGUAACACGUGGGUGACCUGCCUUCGAGCGGGGGAUAACGUCCCGAAAGGGACGCUAAUACCGCAUGACAUCCUGCCUUUGAACAGGCGGUGAUCAAAGCUGGGGAUCGCAAGACCUAGCACUUGAAGAGGGGCCCGCGCCUGAUUAGCUAGUUGGUGAGGUAACGGCUCACCAAGGCGACGAUCAGUAUCCGGCCUGAGAGGGCGGACGGACACACUGGGACUGAGACACGGCCCAGACUCCUACGGGAGGCAGCAGUGGGGAAUUGUUCGCAAUGGGCGCAAGCCUGACGACGCAACGCCGCGUGGAGGAUGAAGACCUUCGGGUCGUAAACUCCUUUCGAUCGAGACGAACGGCCUCCGGGUGAACAAUCCGGGGGAGUGACGGUACCGAGAGAAGAAGCCCCGGCUAACUCCGUGCCAGCAGCCGCGGUAAUACGGGGGGGGCAAGCGUUGUUCGGAAUUACUGGGCGUAAAGGGCUCGUAGGCGGCCAACUAAGUCAGACGUGAAAUCCCUCGGCUUAACCGGGGAACUGCAUCUGAUACUGGAUGGCUUGAGAUCGGGAGAGGGAUGCGGAAUUCCAGGUGUAGCGGUGAAAUGCGUAGAUAUCUGGAGGAACACCGGUGGCGAAGGCGGCAUCCUGGACCGACACUGACGCUGAGGAGCGAAAGCCAGGGGAGCAAACGGGAUUAGAUACCCCGGUAGUCCUGGCCCUAAACGAUGAAUGCUUGGUGUGGCGGGUAUCGAUCCCUGCCGUGCCGAAGCUAACGCAUUAAGCAUUCCGCCUGGGGAGUACGGUC